rnacentral:lncRNA from 1 species
GUGCAGUGUUCAUGUACUGGAGUGUCCAGGUGGUCAGUGUUGUGUAUGAACCCCUCUCUCUCUCUCAGUGUACUGGAGUGUCCAGGUGGUCAGUGUGUGUGUAUGAACCCCCCUCUCUCUCUCAGUGUACUGGAGUGUCCAGGUGGUCUGUGUGUGUGUAUGAACCCCUCUCUCUCUCUCUCUCAGUGUACUGGAGUGUCCAGGUGGUCAGUGUUGUGUAUGAACCCCUCUCUCUCUCUCUGUAUCUCCAGAGGUCUCCCCUGCAGGUGGUCAAUGGGAUGAAGUCUGCCUCUCGUUUGCCUCUGCCCUCAGUGAAGAGGCAGAUCUCAGCCUCGGGGGUGGACAGCGGCCCAGGACACCCCCAGCCUGCCCAGAAGAGGCCGCGCACCGCCGAGCCGCCCCCAGCGACCCGCAAGACGCAGGAGGCCGCCAGCGUGGUGACCGCACGGCCGCGCCCGCUGGUGUCCAGCCACAGGGCAGGAGGUGAGGGAGGGUCAGCGGGCAGUCGGUCUCGGGGGGUCUCGCCCGCAGUGGACGGCACUUACUGGUGAUAAACUCCCUUCUCUCUCCCACAGUCAGAGCAGGCCGGCCGAUAGCAGGAGCAGCAACUGUGGCUGUCGGACCCUCGAAAGGUGAGCAGAGCUCAUAUCAGCCCACUGGGAUUAUAACCAGACUCCACUGACUGGCUGGACUGGGAGCUGGAUUAGUUCUUCACUGGGAUUGUAAUCAGACUCCACUGACACUGACAGAGCAGCCCAAGACUCUCCAGGCUGGACUGGACUGGCUGGACUGGGAGCUGGAUUAGUUCUUCACUGGGAUUAUAAUCAGACUCCACUGACAGACUGGACUGGGAGCUGGAUUAGUUCUUCACUGGGAUUUUAAUCAGACUCCACUGACACUGACAGAGCAGUCUGAGACUCUCCAGGCUGGACUGGCCUGUUGUGUCUGGAGGACGUGCUCAUGUUGACAGCACUCACAGUGUCUGAUGUGUUUCAUGCCCUCGCUGUGGUACCACUGACUCGCUGUCGUGUUUUUCAGCCAUUCAGAAGAGACCAGUGGCCUCCGUUUCGAAACCAGGUCUGUACCCACUCGUCCUGUCUGCAGCUGGUCGAUCCGAUCCUCCAGCUCGGCUCUCCCGCCAGGACUGCAGAGCCCACAGUCCUGCCCCUGAGCUCACGGGCUCUGGGCUCGUCUCUGCAGCGCCCCCCGCUGGCAGCAGCCC